rnacentral:lncRNA from 1 species
UCUGAACCUCAAUUUUCUCAUCCGUAAAAGGGGUUAUCACAUAUACCUUAGAGUAAAUUGAAUAAGGGCAAAGAUACACAAUUGCUUUAUAAAACAUAAAGUAUGUUGUUCAAAGAACAAAUGAAUGGUAAUGAGGGCAAUGGCCGGCACUUGAGGAGGGUGGGGUUGGCUUCUGCCACAGGCCCCCUGGGGCCCACUUUUUGGCUCACUGCAGCACAGCUUCCUUCCUCCUCCCCAAGUCCAAUUCCAGCUCUCAGGCCAGCCCCUCUCCCACUCGACCCCCAUGACAGUCCCCAAAAUGAGGCCCUGCUCCAGAACCCUCCAAGGAUGGAUGAAUAGGCUGGGUGGGCACUGGGGGGUGGCCAUGGGGGCUAGGGUGGCCGCAGGGGGGACAGGCAGCUCUCUUUCACCUAGAGUAUCUUCCUUUGCUGGACCUGAAAGCCUGCCAGGCUUAUUGCUCAGAUCCAUGAUCCCAGUCACCUUGGGCUGGUAACUCUGUCCCAGAUAAAAUGCCAGCAAUUUCUCCUAUUGCUUCCUAUAGUUUCCCUACCCUGAGUGGGAAGGAUUUUCAUACCCAUUUUAUAGAUGAGGAAAACAAGGCUGUUGGCACUCCUAACGGAAAUGUUUGCCUAUGAAAAGGAAGCUCUCAAGAACCCAAAGGAACCAAGGUGGUGCUUCAGUUGCUGGGUCUGAGCUGUUGUUGGUUGGGGGCCGUGGGGUCCUGAGGCGGUCCUGUCUUCCUUAAUCCUGUUGCAGGCAUGUGGGGACUAGAAGUGGCCUUCAUUGCCCCCUGCCUCUCUUCCUUGUCUGUGGAGCAGGACGGAGAUGGGUGACAUGCUGUCACUCCCCUGUGCACCAGCAGAGAGAGCAGGAACAGAGACUGGUGCUGGCUCAUGCCAGCUGAGCACUAAGGAGGUCCACUGGCUGGGAUUCCACUGGUGUCUGUCCCUGGGCGUCACCACACCUGGGAGGCUGGCGUGGGUGCCUGAGACCAGGAAGGUGCUUGAGACCCAUGAGGGUCUUGGCAGGUGCUGGCCACCCCGCAUUAAUCACCUCAACUGAAUCUGGACUUCAAGGGACAAAGGCGUUCACUGGAGUUCAGCGGCUUCCAUUUAUCAGGCAGAUGUAAUCUCCUCAAAUAGCUGCCAAGUCCUGCUCUUCCUGGAGUUCCCUAAGACAACUGCUUCCCCAGGAGGUGAAGGGGCAUUUCCUUCCCCAGGAAGAGAUGCCAUCUGCAUGCAGUAACUGGUCCUUAGAGAAUGCUUGCCGAUUGGAUGGAUGGAUAACAGAUGAGUGAGUGGAUAAAUACACCGAAGAGUUCAACACAGUUAGGGAGGUGUGGAAAUCAAGGCUACGAGUUGGAAGUCACCUCCUCUCAAUCAACCAGCCUGUGCUUGGUGGACAAAAGCCUGAAACCUCAGCUUUGGGGUCCAAAAGCCCCCCUCCUCGUGUUCCUCCCACUGCCUGGGGCACUACAGGGCCACCAGGGAGACUGACGCUGGAGCCAGUGGGCUGAGUGACCCCUGGCAAUGCUGGGCAAAGAGAAAGAAUAAGCAGAGUCACUUGGCUGCGCUGGAGCAGAGAGGCUGGCAGUAGAGGGUUGGCGAAGACAGCCUUGUAGACACAAAUCCCUUUACACUUGGACACGGAGAAAAGAAUCAAGAUGGAUGGCCCCAGCCCUCCUCGCUGGCUUGUACACCUGCCUGCCCUGCUCCUGCCCCUUCACCACCUCCCUCCUGGCUGGUCUCUUGACAAGUUCAUUGCUGUUCAGCAGAAAGGGAUCAGCAGAGUCUUGCUUCUGGAGAAGUUAAGUGCAGGCCGACAAUUCCUCAGGGGUUCAGUGGAUGAAAGCCCGCAAUAGAGGGUUUGGAAGAGCUUCACAGAGGCCCCCAUUCUCCUCAGACGUCAAGAGAGCUAUUGUUUGGGGAAAACAAGUUGUACUGGAGACUCUGGGAAUUGCAGAGAGGUUCUGCAAGAAUUCAAAGAUGCAAAUGGGAACUAAAAGACAUGAUCAGCAUUUAGUGAGUGCAUACUAUGUGGUUGGCUUCCUGCUAGGCCCUUUCAAGUCAUUGUUUCAUGGAAUUCUCAGAACUCUGGGGGACUGGCCAUUGUUAUGAACCCACAGAGGUUAAAUAAUUUUCUGAGGUCACUGUAUGGGUAGGAGGCUAAGACUCAAACUCAGGCCUGCCUGUUCUCACAGCCCACAGUUUUCAUCAGUGUGUAUUUCAUCCAGGUUUGUAGAGAGGAAAAGAAAACGGGCACACAUGUGCACAGGGUUGAAAUGGCAGCAGCACAGAACAAAGAACAAUAAGGCUAGAAGCCCCCCAGAAGGGACUUGUGCCCCAACCCCAUCACCAGCUCCUGGGACACUUUGGAAAUAUCCCUUUGCAGUUCUGUACCUUACUCCCACUGGUGACAUGGCAGGUUUGAAGUCCAAGGUCCCUCAAGUCCAGUUUUUACCCUCUCCCCUUCCCAGUCCACAGAUGAGGACAGUGUGGCUCAUGAGGCAGGGCCACAGAAUUUUGUGGCCAGUCUGGUCUGACCUGUCUGGGGGACCUUGAAUCCCCUUGAUAACAACCCCAGGGACUCCAGGCCCAGCCAGUAAGCCUCCAAGAUGGAAAUGAAUGAGGCCCAAGGCUGUUCCUGCCAUCUUAGAACAGGGCUGAACAAAGUCUGUCGCCUGCCAGCCUGGAACACUGUCGGCAUUCAAUACCCAUUUAUUGAGCAGAUGUAGUAUUUUUAGCACGACUUCCCCAAGUGCUUGCUACAUGCUGGCACUAGCAGCAGCCCUGAAUGCCUCGUCUGCAUUGAAUUCCCUCCACCCAGAGCCACCAAGAUGUUCUGUGACAGCCAGGCACUUGACCACCUCUGUCCCAGGGGAGGAAGGAUUUCAGGGCAAGCCUUUACUGAAUCUGAUGGAAAGAA